CCCCUCUCCCCUCUCCCAACCCCUGCGACCAUUAAUGCUAAUGGCAUGUGAAUGAAUGCACAAAGAGGGGGAUGCGAGGCAGAGAAAGAGCGCCAGUGUGACUGACGACUCUGACUGUCCCACUCACUCACUUACUCACUCAUUACACGUCUGCCUGCUCGCUCACUCCCUCACGUCACAUGAAAUUACAGUGGCCGCCGUCAGUCGACAGCGUCGGCGGGCGACAUCGUCAGCGUUGUUCUCAUUGAUUUUGCUUUGUUCGCGUAAAUUGUUCUCCUUAUGCUAAUGUUGUUGCUGUUGCUCUGCCAAAUUGCCAACAGAGAGAAAGAAUGAAUGUGGUGAAGCGGAGAAGAAAGAGGAUUGGGGAGGAAGACUGGAGUGCAGUGGUGCGAGAGUGAAGUCAUUCACUUGAAGAGCGGUGCUAAGCGGGAGAGCAGCAGGAGGAUUGCAAGGCGUACUUGUGCCGGGGAAUGCCAAUGCCUCACCUUGCAUUAAUAUGUUAUAUAUAUUCGAAGAAGACUGGAGCCAGGGAGAGCAGGGAGAGAAAUGGGGUGAGCGUGACUGAUGAAGAAAAGAGAGAGAGGACGGAAUUGCAUGUUAAGUUUACCGUUUAUUUUAAGUUGGGUUUUUCUGCCUAGUGUUAUGCACAAGAAAUAAACAAA